rnacentral:rRNA from 1 species
GUCCAGACUCCUACGGGAGGCAGCAGUGGGGAAUAUUGCACAAUGGGGGAAACCCUGAUGCAGCGACGCCGCGUGAGUGAAGAAGUAUUUCGGUAUGUAAAGCUCUAUCAGCAGGGAAGAAAAUGACGGUACCUGAUUAAGAAGCCCCGGCUAACUACGUGCCAGCAGCCGCGGUAAUACGUAGGGGGCAAGCGUUAUCCGGAUUUACUGGGUGUAAAGGGAGCGUAGACGGCAUUGCAAAUCCGGAGUGAAAGCCCACGGCCCAACCGUGGGACUGCUCUGGAAACUGUAGAGCUGGAGUGCGGGAGGGGCAGGCGGAAUUCCUAGUGUAGCGGUGAAAUGCGUAGAUAUUAGGAGGAACACCGGCGGCGAAGGCGGCCUGCUGGACCGUAACUGACGUUGAGGCUCGAAAGCGUGGGGAGCAAACAGGAUUAGAUACCCGCGUAAGC